GCAGACGGCGGAGAGCUGGGAUGGAGCGCGCCUUGGCCCGCUGGCCUUGGCUGCAGCUCCUCGGGAGAGCCGGGGCGCCCACGCGAGAACCUCCCUACCUGGACGACCAAGGAGGAGGACGACCAGAACUGACCAGCCAGCCCCCUUGGCUAAAGGCUUAGACCUGUGCCCUAGUGAGGGGGCAUUGGUCGCCAACCCCUGACCUUUGCUAUGCUUCUGCCUUGUUGCUCUGAUACUUGCCUCUAUGUCUCUGCCUGUGUUAACCUGCCAGCGCCCUGGAGGGUUGCCAUCCCCAGGGAGGUGUCAGUCUUUCUCGCUCCACUUGUUGUCGCCCGAAUGACGUCCUGAACGGAAGGGUCCCUUUGGGAACGUCUCGGGAGGCCGACCUGGGCCAAGGGCACAACCAGCAUCUCACUGGCAAUUCCAAGGCCCUGGGUGGGCUUCUGGAAUGAGCAUGAGCCCCGACGUCAUGCCACGGAACUGCCAGGGGCACCCCCCCUCCUUUGAGCUCUCCCUGUCCCUCCUGGGGGGACAGGGACGAGAAGAGCAGUCUCCCAGGGGGUUGUGAGUAUUGAAUGAGAUGAAGUCGCCUCGGGCAGGGCCAGGCAUAGAGGAGGCAGUCGGCAAAUGUUUGUUGAUAAAGUUUGGCCGAUCAGUCCAGCCCCGGCCCGCUCCCGUGUCUCACCGUCUCAUUUAUUCUCCCACAGCACUCCGGAUGGCCCCUGGCCACGGGGCUCUGCCCGCACCAGGUCUCCUUCUGGAGUUGGGGUCUGUGAGCUGGACCCCUCCCUCCGUGACGCCUUCCUCCCUCCUCUGCGCCCCCAGUCGUUGGCUGGGGCCUGUCCAGGGCAAAGGGCAGAUGACUGGGGGACCUCCAGGGAGCGUUGCAGGCUCUGCCAAGGCCUGGCUGCCCACCUGUUCUCUACCUGGCGGCUCCUUCCCUGCCUCCCUCCCCCCAGCCAGGGUGCCUGCCCACUUGGAGCUCUGCUUGCCCGGCCCGCCCCUCUGUGCCCCCGUCACUGGGCUCAGGAUCUUCUGGGUCCUGGCUGUGCCGCCCUCUGCCUAACAGGUUGUUUUUCCCGCUGCCUCGCCCACCUCCCACCUGCGUGCCUUUUGCCCUCCCCGUCCCCCGGUGCAAGGAAGCCCUCCCCGCUCAGGGCCGCCCAAGUUUCCAGCGGGUCUCCGGUGCCCCGGGAUAAGCCCGAGCUGGCCCGCCACCUCCCCCGGUCAUCCUCAGAUGCCUCUUCUCCCGGCCGUGGCCCCUCAGGGUCUUAGUGACGGUGGGCUACAACCAGAUUUUUGUCCUGCUCCCCUCCCCACACCCCCUAGACCCCUCGUCAUCGGGUCCUGCUGGGCCUGCCCAGAUGGCUGCCCUGUCCCCCUGAGUCCCAGGCCCUGCCCCACCCCAGGCCCCGUGGCCAGUCUGGGGGCUGCCACCCGGCCUGUCGCCUCUCUUCUUGCACCUCUUCCCAUCACGGCAUCCCCACGAGCCACCUCCCUCCACAGAAAUCCAAGCCGCAGGUGAGACUGGGCUCUGUGCCCUUUCUUGGUGGGUGUGGCUUUUCUGGGGGGGCUUGCCUUGCUGUCGCCCAACUCUCUGCCUCCCCCCGAGGUCGGCCUGUCCUCGACGCACUGGCAGCGAGCGUCGGCUGAAGAACCGGAUGGAAGAGGCGGGAGAGUCACCACGGACCGGCGUUCCUUCAGGUCGGUCGCCUGGCGUCUUCGGGCUGCGACUCCUUCCCGGAUCGGGCUGAAGCCAUCAUCUGUGUCCUCCGUCGGAAGGGACCUCAGACAUGUGGCUCCUGCACCCUCCAGCUCUGAAAUCGGCAGGCUAGGAUGCAAGUGGCCUUGCUGGGGGGCCCUUCCAAGGGCCGAGGGACCAGCCUCUCGAACGGGCUCGGCGCUCCAGUGACCUUCGCGUCCCCCUCCUCCUUGAAUUGUCUGGAAAACAGAAUGGACAGAUUUUCUGUCUUCAAAGUUUCCGGCUAAACCUCUUCAAAGUUCUUUAUUGUUUGGGACUGAGACACUCAGCAGUGCUAAUGGGUAGUUCCUUUUGUAUUUGCCCUGAAAGGCCAAAAUAUUUUUAUAUCGCUCCAGACAAAGCCGUCUAUUUUAAGAUGAACUCUGUCCGUCGUUGGCCACCGGGGAGACGGUGUCCGCCGUGUGUGUGUCUGUGUGCUCUCGGGUCUUGAAACGGGUUUCUCCUGGGGAUGGCCAUUCACAGGGGUCCAGGGGGAAGCGCCUGCCCCCCCGAAGGGGGCCUGGGGAAGCGGGGACUGGGGCAUCCCGCCCUAAUUGCAGAUCUGCCACCCCCACCCACCCCCACCCCCUCUGUGUAGGAUAUGAGCCCCUGGGGCGGUGGGGGCGGGUUCUGGCUGCACUAACAUUUCCUGUGCCUGCGCCUGCACCUGCCAUGCGUAUGUGUUGGGGACCGUGGGUUGUGUGCACCUGGGUGGUUAAUUCAGUGGGAGGAGCUGGGAGGUCAGAGAUACUGUGAAGGUUCUAUUCUGGUUGGGAGGUCACGGCUGGGAGGUGUGACCUGGUCCAAACAAGCGAAUGGAUGCAUCCGUGGAUGAAAGCAUGCAGGAAUGAGCAAACAGAGAAACAGGGAGAGAAGGAAUCAAGCCCGGGUGAGAGUGUGCCCUGAGUGAGAGCCCACCGAUGCCCAGGACGUCAGUGGUUGUGUCAGGAAGUCGGGACUCGGGAUAGACAUAGGGCCACGUCGGAAGCAAGGUCAGGUCAUCGUGGGCGGAGCGACCCGUGAACUUUGGGUAUCGGGCACCUGAAGUUUGUCAUUAAAGGAUAAAACCUAGAUGGAAGAAAGAAUGAGUUAGAGGUGGACACGCGUAAACCAGGGGUGACAAUGAGAUGAUGAGGCCCAGCGGGGGAGACGGUGCAGGAGAGGGAAGGAGUGACUGAAAGGGGGAGGCACACGGAGAGAGCCCCCAAAAUGAGUAUUUUUAAAAUUAGGGGGCGAGGACAUCUCUAUGGAGGACAGGGUCACGUGAUUAUGAGCCAAGCAUUAGGAUGACUCCAAAUGCAUACUCCCGGCACAAAAAAGGAAAGAACCUGCAGACGGAGAGUUCUGGAAAAAGAUGAGCUGGAAAAGGACCCAGGGAACCAACGAUGAGGGUUAACUUUAGCCUAAAGUUUUCCGACUCUGGGCCCGUGUAGAUAAGUAAAUGCCCAAACGAAAGAAAGCAGAGGGACCACCAAAGGGAUGAGUGAGCAGCGGACAUCCCUGGGCCCAGAUGGGAGCAUUGGCAGGAGGGGCUUCGAGUCAUCUGCUCCCGGGCACUGAGGUUCCACGAAAGGAUUAAAAAGAGAGAGAAUGGAGUUCCCGUCGUGGCGCAGUGGUUAACGAAUCCGACUAGGAACCUGUGUCCUCAUGGAUGCUAGUCAGAUUUGUUUCCACUGAGCCACGACAGGAACUCUGGAAGCUGAUGUUUUAGAAAACACCCAAAUUUAAUUGAUAGCGGGAUUGGAUAUGAGAGCUGGGUUGGGUUGGAUUUUAGAAAGGACAAGAGUUCUGGUUUUUUUUUUUUAAUUUCAGAAAUAAAUGUAGUCUUUUCUCUAUUAUUAUAUUUUUUGUGUUUUUUUUUCCUUCAUUUUUUUAUGUGUUAUUGCAGUAGAGUUCUGAAUUUUGGUUAGUGAGGCGAUAGCCAUCACUGGUGUGGGAGGGGUCAUGCUUCAGGAAAUCUCUGCCGGGGAGCGGGGGUGACUCAUGGGACGCCAGAGUUGAGGCAUCAGGUAGAGGGCAGGAGUGGUGGCUGGGUGCUCCCCUUGCCCCUGCGCAGCUGCGCCCCCACCCUGUGUUGUCCAGGCUCCUAAGCAGAGCAGGCUUGCUCUCCUCCCCUCGCCUCCUGGGUGGCCCGUCCGCCUGAGAACCCUCGUCAGCCAGGGAGCCGGGGCGCGGGCGGCCUUCAUCUGCACCUGUGUCUCUCUCAGCCUCUGCAGCCACGGGGACACCUGCACACGUUCCCAAAGACUCUGGACCUGGGCGGCCCCCUGCGAGGAGGGGCGUGUCCUCCCCGCCACCCCUGGGUGGCCGCCCGCCCUCUGACUGGUGGACUUCGCUGAUCUGAGUGUCAGACCCAUGGGCUUGACCCCUACCCAACCCCUCCUGAACCCUGAGACGUGGGAGCGCCGCGCCUCGCCGUCCGCAUCUGUGAAAUGGGCGCAGACCCCUACCUCACAGGGCUGUUGUGAGGCGCGUGUGACGCGGUUUGGAAGUGCCCCACCUGGGGGCUUGGCACAGCCAUUGUGCUCUCAAUAAAUGUGUUUCUUGCCU
rnacentral:lncRNA from 1 species